rnacentral:lncRNA from 12 species
GGGGGGGGGGGGGGGGGGGGGGGGGGGGGGGGGGGGGGGGGGGGGGGGGGGGGGGGGGGGGGGGGGGGGUGCUGCCCCGGCAGGAGCCGCCCCUGUCCCGGCCUCAGCCCGCCGUGAGGGGAGAGGGGCGGCCUGAGGGGAGCCGCCCGCCAUAGGGGUCUUGGCGCGGGGGGUGGCGCGGAGCUGCACCGGCGCGUGUCGCGACUGGAGCCCCAGCCGUCCUGGGAGCACUGCCCUCACUCUGUCGUGAUAGAAGCCUCAUCCAGUGCAGGGUUCUUACACGGUGCCAUGGCAUGAGCUUCUGCCAUCCCAUAUAUUUUCUGAAUUACAGGAAAGAGUCACACUCUCUGACUUUUCAAGAUUGAAAGGAAGACAUGCAGGAUCACUCCAUGUAGACUGCAACCUCUCUGUGACAUCCCAGGAGCCUCCUGAGCAGCUGUACCCGAUGCUGGUGUGGUGCUGGAGCCUGAGCAAUUUCUGUCAUGAGACACAAAUCUACAGGUGUCAGCAAGAGGACUGGAAGAAUGAAUCCUGUUCCCUGAAAUGCAGCUGGAGAACAAGGGCAGCUCAGGCCACCCCAGACCUCAGGAGAUUGAUAGUGUUGGCAGCUGAGGAUCUAAUUAUGGAUUAUUUGGGUCGGACUCUUUUAUCCCAGGCCUCCAGAGCUGCUCACCCAGGGUGACAACACCACGGCAAUCAGGAAAAUCAGUGCCAGGCAAGUGCGAAAAAUGUCCUUUUCACCCAGUGCCCUUGGAAUAACACAGAUUGCCUCGGGAGUUUGGAGACUGCCACUGCAAAACUACUGCUGCAGGGACAGACACUGAGGAUUUGGAGAGCCUGAACUCUUUAAACGAGCUGGAAAUAGGUCAGAUUCUGAUUGUUAGAAAACAACUCCAACGUGGGUGUUGCUAGACAGGUGGGACCUUGU